rnacentral:rRNA from 1 species
UACAGAGGUCUCAAGCGUUUGUUCGGAUUCAUUGGGCGUAAAGGGUGCGUAGGUGGCGCCGUAAGUCGGGUGUGAAAUUUCGGAGCUUAACUCCGAAACUGCAUUCGAUACUGCGGUGCUUGAGGACUGGGAGAGGAGACUGGAAUUCAUGGUGUAGCAGUGAAAUGCGUAGAGAUCAUGAGGAAGACCAGUGGCGAAGGCGGGUCUCUGGACAGUUCCUGACACUGAGGCACGAAGGCCAGGGGGAGCAAACGGGG